CCCUUAGAUGUUCUGGGCCGCACGCGCGCUACACUGACGAAUGUAACGAGCUUAUAACCUUGGCCGAAAGGUCUGGGUAAUCUCCAAAUUUCGUCGUGAUGGGGAUAGAUUAUUGCAAUUAUUAAUCUUCAACGAGGAAUGCCUAGUAAGCGCAAGUCAUCAGCUUGCGUUGAUUACGUCCCUGCCCUUUGUACACACCGCCCGUCGCUCCUACCGAUUGAAUGGUCCGGUGAAGCGCUCGGACCGCGGCCUCUUGACGGUUUUCCGUCGAUUGGCUGUGGGAAGUUCGUUAAACCUUAUCAUUUAGAGGAAGGAGAAGUCGUAACA
rnacentral:rRNA from 1 species